rnacentral:sRNA from 1 species
GCUGGGCACGGUGGUGCACGCCUGUAAUCCCAGCAGCUCUGGAGGCUGAGACAGGAGGAAGGUGAGUUCAAAGCCAGCCUCAGCAACUUAGUGAGGCCCUAAACAACUCAGCAAGACCCUGUCUCUA